UUGGUUAGUAAUGUGUGACUGAGCUUCCUGAUGCUGUAUGUAUGGGGGAAGUUGGUUAGUAAUGUGUGACUGAGCUUCCUGAUGCUGUAUGUAUGGGGGAAGUUGGUUAGUAAUGUGUGACUGAGCUUCCUGAUGCUGUAUGUAUGGGGGAAGUUGGUUAGUAAUGUGUGACUGAGCUUCCUGAUGGAUGCUGUAUGUAUGGGGGAAGUUGGUUAGUAAUGUGCUUCACAACAUGCAAGAGAGAGCAGGAACAAAUUUAUGCUGGAAUUUCAGGAAUGAGCUGACUUAACUAGCGAGCUUGAUGGUCACUGUUUGACCUAUUUGGAAUCCCCAUAUAAUCAUGGCUUCUUUUUACAGUGUCAUCGUUCACGGUUGUUCACCUUUGAUAGGCCUCAGGCUACAAACCAGCUGACAGAUUGACUGGAGCCACAUUUGUUGCAUGCUUGAUACAGAGCAUAUUUAUGAUUAGCUUGAGUUGAUCAUACCACCCAGCCAUCUCUGAUCUUCUGUCACAUAUCACGUUACAUCUCAAAACAACAUCUUUGGAACAAGUGCAAAAACGAAACAUGCUAAUCUUCUUCACUAAUUAGACAGGAGAUUUUGCUCAUACUACUUGACUAUAGGCCUACACAACAUCUAAGAUGAACCAGUCAGGGAUGACAUGAUUACCAGUCACUUUGAAUAUGAAAGUGUGCCGCUGAGAGUGAAAUGAUACUAAUCUAACGCACAGCAGAGAUGUACAAACUCUGACCACGUCCUCUUCCGAUGCCGUACAGUACAAACCCACCUGCACCAGAUAGACACGGGCCAUUCACACAGACACCGUGAAGUCAGGCGUCGCAUAGUGUGAAAGCUGCAAGGCUGGAGUAAAGCUAUAGUUCACUUCACGCUCUUGAGUAAAAACAGUAAUGGCCAAUUCUCAUUCAUUUGUUUCAGUUGGAGUGGUAGUGUUUGUACAGUGAUUGAGUCAGUGCGGAGUGGACAGAUGCAUUAACAUGGGAAUUACGUGAAUCGGUGGGUGUGAAUGAAGUGAAGGGUGCAGUCGUCCCGACCCGUUAAAGAAGCCGAGCCAUGAUGGAUAGUGUAGAUAGAAUGGUGGUGUGGCAGAUGUACAGUUGAAGUCGGAAGUUUACAUACACUUAGGUUGGAGUCAUUAAAACUCGUUUUUCAACCACUCCACAAACUUCUUGUUAACAAACUAUAGUUUUGGCAAGUCGGUUAGGACAUCUACUUUGUGCAUGACACAAGUAAUUUUUCCAACAAUUGUUUACAGACAGAUUAUUUCACUUAUAAUUCACUGUAUCACAAUUCCAGUGGGUCAGAAGUUUACAUUCCCUAAGUUGACUGUGCCUUUAAACAGCUUGGAAAAUUCCAGAAAAUGAUGUAAUGGCUUUAGAAGCUUCUGAUAGGCUUAUUGACAUAAUUUGAGUCAAUUGACAUAAUUUGAGUCAAUUGGAGGUGUACCUGUGGAUGUAUUUCAAAGCCUACCUUCAAACUCAGUGCCUCUUUGCUUGACAUCAUGGGAAAAUCAAAAGACCUCAGGGGGGGAAAAAAGUAGACCUCCACAAGUCUGGUUCAUCCUUGGGAGAAAUUGCCAAAUGCCUGAAGGUACCACGUUCAUCUGUACAAACAAUAGUACGCAAGUAUCAACACCAUGGGAUUACGCAGCCGUCAUACCGCUCAGGAAGGAGACGUGUUCUGUCUCCUAGAGAUGAACGUACUUUGGUGCGAAAAGUGCAAAUCAAUCCCAGAACAACAGCAAAGGACCUUGUGAAGAUCAACAUAACCUGAAAGGCCGCUCAGCAAGGAAGAAGCCACUGCUCCAAAACCGCCAUAAAAAUGCCAGACUACGGUUUGCAACUGGACAUGGGGACAAAGAUCGUGCUUUUUGGAGAAAUAUCCUCUGGUCUGAUGAAACAAAAAUGGAACUGUUUGGCCAAAAUGGUCAUUGUUAUGUUUGGAAGAAAAAAGGGGAAGCUUGCAAGCCGAAGAACACCACCUCAACCGUGAAGCACAGGGGUGGCAGCAUCAUGUUGUGGGGGUGCUUUGCUGCAGGAGGGACUGGUGCACUUCACAAAAUAGAUGGCAUCAUGAGGAUCGAAAAUUAUGUGGAUAUAUUGAAGCAACAUCAAGACAUCAGUCAGGAAGUUAAAGCUUGGUCGUAAAUGGGUCUUCCAAAUGGACAAUGACCCCAAGCAUACUUCCAAAGUUGUGGCAAAAUGGCUUAAGGACAACAAAGUCAAGGUAUUGGAGUGGCCAUCACAAAGCCCUGACCUAAAUCCUAUAGAAAAUGUGUGGGAAGAACUGAAAAGCUGAAAUAAAUAUUUCUCUACUAUUAUUCUGACAUUUCACAUUCUUAAAAUUAAGUGGUGAUCCUAACUGACCUAAGACAGGGAAUUUUUACUAGGAUUAAAUGUCAGGAAUUGUGAAAAACUGAGUUUAAAUGUAUUUGGCUAAGGUGUAUGUAAACUUCCAACUUCAACUGUAUAUAGGUCUGGAAUCAAGUUCACACAUUGUAGUGCCAGCAUGUGUUUUUAAAGAGAAACAAAUGUAACAAUGCAAUGGUCGCUGCACCUUUGAUGAUUUCCAUAAAACAGUUUCUCAUCCAGUGAUCUGUGAGCUACAGGCUUACUUGUGGGGGGUGCUAGCAUAACCAGAGGUGACUCCCCUGACAGAUUUAAUAUUGGCUCACAAUAUAUAGAUUUUUUUUAUUAAAUAAAUUAACUUGAUUAGUUGGUUGUAUUGUCUCCUGUUAUUUAGAAAUGUUGAAUAUGUAGGAGGUUCCUGGGAUCGAACCUGAUUGGUUAUAUCACCAUUACAUGGUAAAUAACAAGUGCAUAGCCUACAGUUGAAGCCCGCAAUUUGGCAAAUAUGAAAUAGCUGAUGUCAAGUUGCGACUGUCAGUGAGAAGCAUCUAAAAUAGCCCUAGGCCUAUCGCAAUACUUCAAAAUUAAAUUGUGGAAUAAACACAAAAGUCACAUAUAGUCCAAACGAUUUAAAUGUUGUUUAUUCCAUUAGUAGGAUACACCAGGACUAAUCUCUUGGCAGUAGCGGAGAGCGUCGGCCAUAUCUCUGGUGAGUGCGCAUAUUCACUGUCUUUAUCAUUGGGCGAGUCAGUGCCACUGGAAAGUUUAGGACAAUAAUUUCCUCCUCAAUUGUUGAUGGACGUCAUAUUGUACAUUUUGUCUCCCCUUUUCAUAGGCCUAGAUUACAUGGUUACAUUGAAGACAAGGUUGAUUUUAUUGAUCUCAGUUUGCCAGUGUCAGCAGAGUAGCCUAGGCCUAACCUGCAAUUUUUGUAGUAUAUUUACAUGUUUAUUUAUUCAUUUAGUAGACGCUCUUAUCCAGAGCGAUUUACAGUAGUGAAUGCAUACAUUUCAUGCAUUUUUUUUGUACUGGUCCCCCGUGGGAAUCGAACCCACAACCCUGGCGUUGCAAACACCAUGCUCUACCAACUGAGCUACACGGGACUAGUAGGCUAUUAAAGAUUCUGAUAAUGUCCCCAGACAUGUAAAGUGUUGUAGAAUUGCAUGAAAUAUGAUUAUCAGCUAGGGCUGAGCUACUUCCCCAAACAUGAAACUCAAGCGCCACCUAUGAUGCUGUGUAUUUCAUUGUUUGUUUACGGUCGGUCGGAUCAGAUAGUUGGUCUGUUUUGUCAGCGGCCCAGUCACCUUUACUCAUUCCCAGACAUCUGCCUUCAUCACUGAUCAUUACUAAAGUGAAAGCGAGAUUAAACGUUUAAUUAUCGCUUGAAAUAUGCCUAAAGCGUUAUUGUAAACUGCAAACAUAUCCGAAACGACAGGAUUUAUUAUAACGUCUUGGGAUUCGACAAAGCCUCCACCUUCGAAAAUGACAGUCCAUUGAAACGUCUCUCUAGCUCCGCGGCCUUCAUAACUAACCAAGCACUGCGUCCUCGCAAAGUAAGCUAAACUAAUUAUUCACUUGCAUUUUCACGGGUCUAACUAAAUCUAUGUAUUGUGCAAAUGACAACUUCAUCUGAACGGUGAAUUACGAGUGAAUUGGGCCGAUUUAAGAAGCUUCGAAAACUUGGCCAGAGACUUUUUACGAACGGGUGAGGGGGGAUCCCAACAUGGACUCCGCAACAUGCCACGGCGGGUCCGUGCACAGGUCGACAAUCAAUCCACAUUGACAUAUUCCCAGCAAACUAGACACAGUAAGUAUAAACAACACUUUUGUAUCAACUUCUCAAACAUAACUGGAGAACGUGUUGAAUACUGUAUAGCUGCAAUGCAAUGAACUCACGUCAGCUAGCUAACUGUCAAAUGACGGCUAAUGUUAGCAAUAGAACUAGCUAGUUAAAUGUAUUUAACAACUUGUAUGACUUUUGUUCACCGCUUAGUAAUUGACAACAGACCGAACAACUGGCGAAGACAACCAGCAAGUUCAUGAUCAAGUUCACCCAGACAAAAGUGGUCGACUUUUUGUUUUGCACAAACUUACCCGAAUCUCCAGGGGUUUUCAUUUUGAGUGUUGCAAGCUAGUUAACGUUAGCUAGCGAGCUUGGUGGAUCUCAAGUCAGUAGCGUUUGUGGAAGGAAAAGUCGUCUCCCUCUGAGCCCUUCCUUUGGUUCGGAUUGGAAAAACGAGGGGGGGACAGGCUAACGUUAAACUUUCCACCGUUGCUCCACUCGCGGGCCCCUUUGCUUCCACUUUAUUUCCCAAUAGCCCCUUCCUCAACUGUAGCGAUCGUGGUAACGUUACUUUCCCGAAUCGCAGUCAGUUGAUGUAGCUCACUGCUUUUUGUCCCACGGCAACUUCGCCUUGUCCUGUUCGAGUUGCAGCGGAACACCGUCAACCGUCCCGACAAGCACACGAACCGAAAACCCUUCUUUCCUUGUUUGCAUAUACUUUCACGAACUGUCGAGUUGUUUACUCCAUCUCAAUCGCAUCUUCCCCGUUGUUUGACAUAUUUUCGCUAAAAUAACCGUUCUGUAGAAUAGCAGUCGUCCUCUCUUUAGACUUUCUUUCUUCCUCCACUCACUAACAUUCUGUACUCUGUGGCUACUCUUUCUCCUCCCCCCGGUUCUUCUCUCUCGGGUGUCGUGUUUCGCUCUCUCCUCACCGGGCCGCCCACACGGAGAGGGAGAGGGGGGCUCUAAGGGGCGGGUCACACCCACUCACCACGAGCCAGGGUGGCGUCACUGCUGCAGCACGCGGCGUCGCCAUGGAGACCGCCACAGCCACACUGCCGUGGUGACAUCAUAUCCGUGUCCUACGAUUCUAGAGGAGAGAAGGCCGUCACCACGUCCUUUUACGUCAAUAGCAGACAGACGCUGUGGAGAGAAAGACAGAGAGAUGGUGAAAGAAAGAGAACAGGGACACUGGAGCACCCCCCAACCCCCACAAACAUCACCCGCUGAACCCCUUCCCCAGCUAGACCCUCCAGCCCCCCUUCAAUAUCACCAGACCAUAUCCCCCCCAAACCCUGGAUGAACCUGAUAGAUUUACACCAAAACAUCCCUCUCCCUUUAAGUAGGGGUGUCCAGAACUAGACUCCCAGUGAGCUGGAGGGUCUGUUGGCUUUUUUCCAACCCAUCUCUAACACUCCUUAUUCAGUAGAGGGUUGGCCCACCCUGAUUUAGGAAAACCUACAGACCCGUAGAGAGCUCAGUCUCAGUCUCAGUACGGCAGUGUUAGUGUGCUGGGCCAGAACAAAACCCUGCACACCCUGUGUGUCUCCGAGAGCCAGGACUGAAUAUACAGUGAGCCCUAAUGCCUCCCUUGGUCUGUCUGUGGCGCUCCAACACAGAUUACUCUGUAAUUACCAGGGACAAUGGGUGUGGUACCCCACUCAGCAUCGCACCACAGGUGUGCUCACACACACACACACACACACACACACACACACACACACACACACAGAUAGGCCUACAGCAAACAGUGGAAAUCUACCAGGAUUAGGCAAAAUACCUGAACAGGGCAUUAUAUGGUGUAAUAUGCUAUGACUCAUAUGGCUGAUGACGUCAAACACACACGAACACACACACACAUACACACACACACACAAGAAGGGAUAUUAGUCCUAAGAGGUAAAAUCUAUGAUAUUUUUUAUCUUGAUUUCUCAAUCAGUGUGUUACCUUAUUAUUAUUAUCAUUAGUAUUAUCAUUAUUAUUAUUAGCAUUAUUAUUAGCAUUAUUAUUAUUAGCGUUAUUAUUAUUAUUAGCAUUAUUAUUAUUAGCAUAAAAAUGUCUACUUAACACCUCAGCUUGGAAAGAGAGAGACACUUUGAGGGGACUGGGAAAGAGGGUUCAAGUAGAUGAGAAGGAUUAGAGGCCAAAGAAUGAAAGAGGUGGCGGUUGAAAGGACAACAAGUUGCUGGGGUGUUGGAGGGUGGUGGUUGAAAGGACAACAAGUUGCUGGGGUGUUGGAGGGUGGCGGUUGAAAGGACAACAAGUUGCUGGGGUGUUGGAGGGUGGCGGUUGAAAGGAC
rnacentral:lncRNA from 1 species